CCUACGGGCGGCAGCAGUGAGGAAUAUUGGUCAAUGGACGAGAGUCUGAACCAGCCAAGUAGCGUGAAGGAUGACUGCCCUAUGGGUUGUAAACUUCUUUUAUAAAGGAAUAAAACGAGGCACGUGUGCCUUUUUGCAUGUACUUUAUGAAUAAGGAUCGGCUAACUCCGUGCCAGCAGCCGCGGUAAUACGGAGGAUCCGAGCGUUAUCCGGAUUUCUUGGGUUUAAAGGGAGCGUAGGUGGAUUGUUAAGUCAGUUGUGAAAGUUUGCGGCUCAACCGUAAAAUUGCAGUUGAAACUGGCAGUCUGGAGUACAGUAGAGGUGGGCGGAAUUCGUGGUGUAGCGGUGAAAUGCUUAGAUAUCACGAAGAACUCCGAUGGCGAAGGCAGCUCGCUGGACUGCAACUGACGCUGAGGCUCGAAAGUGUGGGUAUCAAACAGGAUUAGAUACCCGGGUAGUC
rnacentral:rRNA from 1 species